UUAGGUCCAUUUUAGCCUAAUAUAUUACUGUUAUAAUAGACAGUUGCUGUGCUUAAAAAUAAUGUUGCAAGCAUGUAUUUUAACCAGUCGUCAUAAAAUUGUUUGAAGUUUUAUGCAUAUAAGUCUUACGAUUUUAACUCGUAUACAUGUAUGUAUUCAAAAAGUGUUUCUCACAUUGAGAUUUGUAAAAUAUGUACACUGUGUGUACAAUGUUGUACGACAAUAGAAUGUACAUAUUAAAAUAUAUAUAAUAAUAUAUGAUGUAAAUAUUUUAUGUAUAGAUAUUUUUUUUAUAUCUGUCAUUUUUUUUUAUUUGAGAAAACACAUAAUCAUACGCCCAAUUUUCUUUGUUGUCGCACAGUUAGCUAAGUUAAGAUAUUCCGUUUAUGUCUACAAGAGAAUGCAAAGACUAACCACAGCAGCUACUACAGUUAUCGAACAAUCAUCUUCAGAUUUUUUUUCUUCAAACAAUGCAGUUUCAAUAAAACCCAUGGUUGAAACCCCCGACCAUUUUCUCUUACGCGCAAUGACCUUGGGCAUUUUAUGCCAACUCCACGAACUUUUCUCUUUUUCAUGAAUAUAAGUCACUAGUAUUUCUAAUCCGCAAAAGAAACAAUUAAAACUAUAGGAACAAAAAGCACAGCUCAUGUGAUAAAUACAUUGUUUGUUAGAUUCUUGGGUAAAAAGUAUUAACGCAAUUACAUGUAGAUUUCCCCCCAAAAGUCGCUUCAGGAAUUCCCUCCAAAAUCAACUUUCAUAAGUUAAUAUACGUAGCAAACGUGUAAUUAAACAUUUACAUGCAUUAUAAAGCAUAAAUUAGUCCCUUUAAAUUAUAUACAUGUAGUUCCAGAGUUUUCUAGAGUUCUGUGUUUAGUAAGAAAUAUUUAAAGAGUUGGCCUAUGGUAACCACGUUGUAUGUGUUGACGAGGAACUGGUCGUGGUGUUCUGACGAUGAUGAAAAUUCAAUUUAGUUCAAGAAACACAAUACAAUUACGUAAAAUUAUACAAUUGUGCGCUUGUGGAUGCGUGCGUGUAUGUAAUGUGGAACUACUUGAAUACCGUAUGUUUUAUCUUUCAUUGUAUUUUACAAUGUAUUUUUUAAAAAUUUAUUUGUGUAAUAAACCAUGACAAGUC
rnacentral:misc_RNA from 1 species